UUUAUGGAGAGUUUGAUCCUGGCUCAGGAUGAACGCUGGCGGCGUGCCUAAUACAUGCAAGUCGAGCGAACAGAUAAGGAGCUUGCUCCUUUGACGUUAGCGGCGGACGGGUGAGUAACACGUGGGUAACCUACCUAUAAGACUGGGAUAACUUCGGGAAACCGGAGCUAAUACCGGAUAACAUUUGGAACCGCAUGGUUCUAAAGUGAAAGAUGGUUUUGCUAUCACUUAUAGAUGGACCCGCGCCGUAUUAGCUAGUUGGUAAGGUAACGGCUUACCAAGGCGACGAUACGUAGCCGACCUGAGAGGGUGAUCGGCCACACUGGAACUGAGACACGGUCCAGACUCCUACGGGAGGCAGCAGUAGGGAAUCUUCCGCAAUGGGCGAAAGCCUGACGGAGCAACGCCGCGUGAGUGAUGAAGGGUUUCGGCUCGUAAAACUCUGUUAUUAGGGAAGAACAAAUGUGUAAGUAACUGUGCACGUCUUGACGGUACCUAAUCAGAAAGCCACGGCUAACUACGUGCCAGCAGCCGCGGUAAUACGUAGGUGGCAAGCGUUAUCCGGAAUUAUUGGGCGUAAAGCGCGCGUAGGCGGUUUCUUAAGUCUGAUGUGAAAGCCCACGGCUCAACCGUGGAGGGUCAUUGGAAACUGGGAAACUUGAGUGCAGAAGAGGAAAGUGGAAUAGCGAUCAGUGCCAGUUUCCAUGUGUAGCGGUG
rnacentral:rRNA from 1 species